ACAAAUCAGAAGCAUCAAGAAGUCAGAAAUCAAAAAUCAAGCUUGAAAAGGUAGGAAACCCUAAAUUCUAGAAAUCCUUCGAUUCGAUGUUAAUUGAUGCAAUUGAUUGUUUAAAGUUGUGUAAUAGGGAGUCUAUUAAUGUUCUGGGUUGAUAAAUCAUGAACCCAUAACAUCAAAGUGCACGAAUUUGAAGAUUUGAGCAAGUUGGAAAAAAACCGGAUUCUGUGAUUUUUUAUCAAAUGUCAGGGCUUAUAACUCUUUGGUCGAUCAUGAGUUUUGUUGUUUAAAAGUUGUUAUAUGUAGCCUGAUAUGUGGUCUUUAAUAUUCAGAAAGAAUCAAGUUCAUAUCUAUUGUAGAUCGGGAGUUAUAAGCGGUCAAAGUGGG
rnacentral:lncRNA from 1 species